GAAGGUCGCCCUACAGGUCACCCGGGAGCACUCGGAGGGCGCCCAGGGCCCCAUGGCAACGCAGCACAGAGACAUCAAACAGGGAGGCCGCACGUCACUGCGGUCAGGGAGGCUCCUCCCCACUGGCUAGCGGCUGGCUCCUCAGGCCGUCAGGCAGCCCGCCUCCUGUCGCCGUGGCGACCGGCUGUGUUGUGGACUGUCCCGGGCCCACCAGAUCCCUGCCCCCUCGCUGGGGCACUGCCGCUCCCCGCAUCCGGGGCGGGCGCCCAGCUCUGUCAUUCAGCCGCCCGUGUGCGGCCUAGUGCCGGCAGAGUGGCCUGCCUUUUGCGGCUCAGAGUCCCCUGGGGACAACAGCUUUGCCGGGGUCUCUGGAAGGGUGGAUGGCCACGGAGUGGGUAGUUGCCAGGAUGCUGUUGGGGUGGAUGUCACAGGAAUGGCCAACAGGCUAACUACUAGGACGAUGUUGGGAGCUCAAAGGCAGCACCCAGGUCCAGCAUGAACUUGGCAGUCAUGCCCACACACUCUAGAAGAUUCCAGAUAUAACAAUUCCAGCAACCAUCAAAUCAUCCACCUGGAAUUCUGACCUGUAUCCUCAAGAGAUGGCAAUGAUCUGAGACUGUUUCUCAAACUAGGAAUGCCCAGGUACGUCAUAGGUCAUUUGUAAACAAUAAAUUAGCUAGCUAAAUGAACCAAACACAGUGGCUCAGGUCUGUAAUUCCGGUGGAGGAAGGAGGAUUGGGAGUUGGAAGUCAUCUUUGGCUACAUAGUGAGUUCUAAGUCAGCCUGUACUACAGGAAACCCUCUCAGCCAGGCAGUGGUGUGGUGCACUCCUUUAAUCCCAGCAUUUGGGAGGCAGAGGAUCUCUGUGAGUUUGAGACCAGCCUGGUCUACGAGAUCGAGUACCAGGACAGCUUCCAAAGCCACAGGGAAACCCUGUCUCAAAAAAAGAAAAAAAGAAAGAAAAGAAAAAAACAAGAAACCCUCUCUAACCAAGGAACACCGCCCACCGCCCACCACGACCCAAUUAAUUUGUUAAUGACCGAUGUCCAGCACCUUCCUAGGACAGGGAAGUUUAGCAAAAAAAAAAAAAAAAAAAAAAGGAUAUACUUCAUUGGCAGCCUCUCCCACCCCUCCCCCCAGACAGGGUUUCUCCGCAGCUUUGUAGACCAGGACUGGUCAGGACUCACAGAGAUCCUCCUCCCAAGUGCUGGGAUUAAAGGCGUGGGCCACCCCCCCCCCACCCGUGGCAGCCUUUCGAUUGCCACCCUACUCAAGCAGGCUGCUUCUAGGAGAACAGCUUUGAUUGUCGAGGUCCAGUUCCCACCAUCUUUUCUGCAGGGAACCAGGGGAGUAGCCGUUUCUGGUGCCUCCACAGACCACUUCUGAGUGUCCUGCCUGCUCAGACCCCUGUCGCCUCAGUUUCCCCACCUACUGAAGGAGACAGGAAGAGGCGACCUCCAGAUCGGUUUGAGAGUUCCAUCUAUCAAAGUGAGCCAAAGGCUAGCACACCCCAGUAGCCCAGCCCGUUGCCACAAGGAGGAACAGGGGGUACAGGUGCCCUCCAUGGUUUCACCCAGCAGCGCAAGGCGACGUGGGUACUCCCGGAAGUGGGUGUGGGUCAUAGGCCAAAGUAGUUGCCAUGGAAGUGACUGUAGAGGACACUUGUGGAAGCUGGAGCAGGCAGCACCUGCUGCGGGUGGCGUCCGUCCGUCCGGAGGGGGCCUGGGCAUGAGUCAUUGCCCAGCAAUGAGGUUGAGUCACAGGGUGGGGUCCCCCGCACUCCCCCCACCAGCCGCUCCUACAAAGGACCUUUGAGAAGAACUCAGCAUCCCCGCCCAGCCUCCAGGCCGUCUCUGGUGUUAGUUGUGGGCAUAGACACUUCUGGGCUGCCCCCAGGAGGCUGGCCUGGGCCUGGGUGUCUGCCACAUGUGUGAAAAGUCACCAUCCAGGGCCUAGCAUUCCCAGGGAGGGGGCUUCCUGGCCACCAGAGCCACUGCCAGGACAGCAGACGAUCUUUCUUUCUUUCUUUCUUUCUUUCUUUGUUUCUUUCUUUCCUUCCUUCCUUCUUUCCUUCUUUCUUUUCCUUCCUUCCUUCCUUCCUUCCUUCCUUCUUUACUUCCUUCCUUCCUUUCUUGCAGAGCCCACGCAGGCACUCAGCAGGCUGAGUCAGGAAUAGCGGGUGCUGGAGGCAUCGCCCCAUCUUCAGGACCACUCUAGCCUGAGGGGCUUCUCUCCUAGAGACCUUGGAGCCUUCUCAGUCAGGACACAGACAGCCAUACCAGGCCUGAGGAUGCCAAGAAGCCUCCACUUGGGUACAAGGGUUAAGAAGGAGCCAGUAGCCAGCGGUGGUGUUGUACACCUUUAAUCCCAGCACUCAGGAGGCAGAGGCAGGUGGAUCUCUGAGUUUAAGGGCUGCUGGUCUACAGAAAGAGUUCCAUGAUAGCCAGGGCUACACAGAGAAACCCUGUUUCAAAAAAGAAAAAGGAGCCAUUUGUGGGAGGUGUAUACCUUUAGUCCCAGCACUCAGGCAAGUGGCUCUCUGCAUGUUUGAAGCCAGACUGGACUACAUAUCAAGUUCUAGGCCAGCAAGGAUACAGAAUGAGACCCCAGGUGGCUUAAAAGGUCAGCUACAGGGAGUGGGUGGUGGAGUGGGGGUACCUGGAGGUGGCUCAGCAGUCCUCCAGAGGAUCCCAGCACCCACAUGGCUGCUCACAACCCGCAGUAACUCCAGUUCCACGGAACCAGAUGUUAUCUUAGACAUGCACACAGGCAAAACAACCAUACUUAUAAAUAAAAGAGAGAUUUAAUAAAGCAUCAAAAGAGCUGUUCAUCAGGUGUUUUUAUUUUAUUUUUUACAUUUGUUUAAAUUGGUGGCACAUGACUUUAAUCCCAGCUCCAGCUCUCACUGGAGGCAGAGGCAGGCAGCUCUCUGAGUCCAAGGCCAGACUAGUCUACAUAGAGUUUCAGGAAGGCCAGGGAUACAAAGAGAACUAGAGUGAGUGAGUGUGUGUGUGUGUUUGCGCUCAUGCACAUGGUAGUGGGGUUGUGGUUUAUGAAUGUAUAUGGGCACUGUGUUUGAAUGAAUUGAACUCAGGACCUCUGGAAGCAGCCAGUACUCUUUUUUUUUCCUUCGAGACAGGGUUUCUCUGUGUGGCUUUGGAGCCUAUCCUGGCACUCGCUCUGGAGACCAGGCUGGUCUCGAACUCACAGAGAUCUGCCUGCCCCUGCCUCCCGAGUGCUGGGAUUAAAGGCGUGUGCCACCAACAACCGGUGCAGCUAGUAUUCUUAAUUACUGAGUCAUCUCUGCAGCCCCAACCAAGAUGUUUUAAACUGGGUCUGGUGGCAAUGAAACUUUUAAACAAAGGCGGUGUGGAAGUAGAAUUCAUGAUGCUCCUGGCCUUUACUCUGCAUUAGGGAGGUGGAAACAGGCAGAUCUGUAACUUUGAAGCCAGCCUGGUCUACAUACCAAAUUCUAGGGCUAAACAGUGAGAACUCUUUGUUUUUUCGAGACAGAGUUUCUCUGUGAAACAGCCCUGGCUGUCCUGGAACUAGCUCUUUUAGACCAGGCUGCCUGGAACUCACAGACAUCCACCUGCUUCUGCCUCCUAAGGGAUUAAAGGCGUGCGCCACUGCCCAGCCCAGGGAGAACUCUUUAAACAACAAUAACAAGAAACGGUUGAAUGCCACCACUUGAUUCCCAGUGCCACGCACAUGGUGAGAAAAGAGAACUGUCUUCCAAAAAUUGCCCUCUGGACCCCACCUGUGUGUCUUGACAUGCUGUAUGCACCCCCAUACAUAUAUCUGUGGAAAAAAUAAUUCAUACACCACUGAAUUGGUAAUCAAUGUGUUCAAAUGUAUAAGCAUAUAUACACAGAUAUGGGCAGAUGGUCACCACACUUUGUAUUAUUUGACUUUAUUAUUGCUGACUAAUGAAACCCUCAGCUUAAAAACAAGUAGCUUUUAAUGACUCUCAGCUCACACUAUCCUGUAGCUCCAGCUCCAGGGGUCUCCAUGGCUGCUAUACUCAUGAGUGCAUGUACACAUAAUUAAAAGAAUGUUUGCUGAGUGUGGUGAUGCAUGCCUUUAGUGCCAGCACCUGGGAGGCAAAGGCAGGCG
rnacentral:lncRNA from 1 species